ensembl:lncRNA
GAAGAGAGAGUGCUGGAAGAAUCUAUGAACAAUAGAGAAAGAGACAAUAGAGAUUGGCGGGAUUUACCGUGUAUGACCUGGAUUGUUUUGGACUUACCUGUUGGCGUUUGGACCUGGACCUACCGAGAACCCGAUUCGUGUACCGAACCCUGCUAUCCUUGACCUCACCUACGGCCUGGGUGGACCAGGACGGAGAAACAAACAAACAGAUGCCUGUGAGCUCACAUUGGACCCAAUUACAGCAAGCAGAGAGCUGCGUCUGUCUGAAGGCAACAGGAAAGUAACAAUUAUGAGAGAGAAGCAGCCUCAUCCUGAUCACCCAGAGAGAUUUGAAGACUGGUAUCAGGUGCUGUGUAAAGAGGGCCUAACUGGGCAGUGUUACUAGGAGGCAGAGUAUAGUGUUUGGGCUGGUAUAGGAGUGGCAUAUAAAGGAAUCAGCAGGAGAGGAAGUUUUAUUGUUUGCUUAGAUACAAUAUGAAGUCCUAAGUGCUUUGAUAAUGGUUACACUGCAUGGCACAAUAAUGAGUACUGCCAUGCCUGUUCCCUCCCUUCAGUCCCACAGAAUAAAAACACUCCUAGAUUGGCCAGCUGGUAAUGUGUCCUUUUACACUGUCUCAUCAGACACACUGACCCACCUGCACACAUUCCACACCACAUUUGUCUAUCCAGAGUUUUGGGUUUGGUGGUUUGACACAUCAGCAUCCCUGUGUAACCUGGAAUAACCUAAAAAAUAACUGUACUACACUAAUAAGUACAGAAACAUGAUUGAUACUGUAGUCACAUUUCUCACUGUUAGAGGUGAAGGCAUAUACUGAACAAAAAUAUAAACGCAACACGUAGGUCACAUUUUUCAUGUGCUGGCCUCAUUUUGACUUGUUUUAAGGACAUUACAUCAAAGUUGGAUCAGCCUGUAGUGUGGUUUUCCACUUUAAUUUUGAGUGUGACUCCAAAUCCAGACCUCCAUGGGUUGAUAAAUUUGAUUUCCAUUGAUAAUUUUUGUGAUUUUG